UAAAGCUCAAAUUUGAAAUCUGGCGCCUUCGGUGUCCGAGUUGUAAUUUGAAGAUUGUAACCUUGGGGUUGGCUCUUGUCUAUGUUUCUUGGAACAGGACGUCACAGAGGGUGAGAAUCCCGUGCGAUGAGAUGCCCAAUUCUAUGUAAGGUGCUUUCGAAGAGUCGAGUUGUUUGGGAAUGCAGCUCUAAGUGGGUGGUAAAUUCCAUCUAAAGCUAAAUAUUGGCGAGAGACCGAUAGCGAACAAGUACAGUGAUGGAAAGAUGAAAAGAACUUUGAAAAGAGAGUGAAAAAGUACGUGAAAUUGUUGAAAGGGAAGGGUUUGAGAUCAGACUCGAUAUUUUGUGAGCCUUGCCUUCGUGGCGGGGUGACCCGCAGCUUAUCGGGCCAGCAUCGGUUUGGGCGGUAGGAUAAUGGCGUAGGAAUGUGACUUUACUUCGGUGAAGUGUUAUAGCCUGCGUUGAUGCUGCCUGCCUAGACCGAGGACUGCGAUUUUAUCAAGGAUGCUGGCAUAAUGAUCCCAAACC
rnacentral:rRNA from 1 species